rnacentral:rRNA from 1 species
GACGAACGCUGGCGGCGUGCUUAACACAUGCAAGUCGAACGGACAGGCCCUGCUUUUGUGGCGUUCUCGUUUGGCGAACGCGUGUGUAACACGUGUGUAACCUCCCCUUAACUUUGUGAUAUCUUUUGGAAACUGGGGCUAAUACCGCAUAUGAUCUCCUGCUCCAUGUUGGUGGUUGGAAAGUUUCGGCGGUUGUGGAUCUACUCGCGGGUUAUCGGCUUGUUUGUGUGGUAGUGGCUUACCAAGGCUUUGACGGAUAGCCGGCCUGAGAGGGUGACCGGCGACAUUGGGACUGAGAUACGGACCAGACGCCUACGGGAGGCAGCAGUGGGGAGUAUUGCAGAAUGGGCGGAAGCCUGAUGCAGCAACGCCGCGUGCGGGAUGACGGCCUUCGAGUUGUGAACAGAUUUCGAAUGUGACGAAGAGUGAGUGACGGUAAUGGGUAAAGAAGCACCGGCUAACUACGUG